UACGGUAGGGUGCAAGCGUUAAUCGGAAUUACUGGGCGUAAAGCGUGCGCAGGCGGUUCGCUAAGACAGAUGUGAAAUCCCCGGGCUUAACCUGGGAACUGCAUUUGUGACUGGCGGGCUAGAGUAUGGCAGAGGGGGGUAGAAUUCCACGUGUAGCAGUGAAAUGCGUAGAGAUGUGGAGGAAUACCGAUGGCGAAGGCAGCCCCCUGGGCCAAUACUGACGCUCAUGCACGAAAGCGUGGGGAGCAAACAGG
rnacentral:rRNA from 1 species